GGGGGGGGGGGGGGGGGGGGGGAGGGGAGGCGGGGCGAGCGGGAGCGCAGUAAGAGGGUGCUCUUACGGGUGGCGAGUGGCGGACGGGUGAGGAAUACAUCGGAAGCGACUUUUUCGUGGGGGAUAACGUAGGGAAACUUACGCUAAUACCGCAUACGACCUACGGGGGAAAGCAGGGGAUCUUCGGACCUUGCGCGAUUGAAUGAGCCGAUGUCGGAUUAGCUAGUUGGCGGGGUAAAGGCCCACCAAGGCGACGAUCCGUAGCUGGUCUGAGAGGAUGAUCAGCCACACUGGAACUGAGACACGGUCCAGACUCCUACGGGAGGCAGCAGUGGGGAAUAUUGGACAAUGGGCGCAAGCCUGAUCCAGCCAUACCGCGUGGGUGAAGAAGGCCUUCGGGUUGUAAAGCCCUUUUGUUGGGAAAGAAAAGCAGCAGGUUAAUACCCCGCUGUUCUGACGGUACCCAAAGAAUAAGCACCGGCUAACUUCGUG
rnacentral:rRNA from 1 species